UACGUAGGCGGAAAAUUAAGUCAGUAGUGAAAUCCUGCAGCUUAACUGUAGAACUGUUAUUGAUACUGGUUUUCUUGAAUAUAGUUGAGGUAGGCGGAAUGUGUAAUGUAGCGGUGAAAUGCUUAGAUAUUACACAGAACACCGAUUGCGAAGGCAGCUUACUAAGCUAUGAUUGACGCUGAGGGACGAAAGCGUGGGGAGCGAACAGGAUUAGAUACCCUGGUAGUC
rnacentral:rRNA from 1 species